AGAUUGAACGCUGGCGGCGUGCCUAACACAUGCAAGUCGAGCGGUAACAGGUGUAGCAAUACAUGCUGACGAGCGGCGAACGGGUGAGUAAUGCUUUGGAAUCUUCCCAGUAGUGGGGAAUAACCAGUCGAAAGAUUGGCUAAUACCGCAUACGUCUGUAAAGGGAAAGCGGGGGCUCGUAAGACCUCGCGCUAUUGGAUGAGCCAAAGUCGGAUUAGCUAGUUGGUGGGUAAUGGCCUACCAAGGCGACAAUCCGUAGCUGGUCUGAGAGGACGACCAGCCACACCGGAACUGAGACACGGUCCGGACUCCUACGGGAGGCAGCAGUGGGGAAUAUUGGACAAUGGGGGAAACCCUGAUCCAGCGACGCCGCGUGUGUGAGAAGGCCUGCGGGUUGUAAAGCACUUUUAGUGGGGACAAAAAGCUACGGAUUAAUACUCUGUGGUCUUGAUUUAACCCAAAGAAAAGCACCGGCUAACUCUGCGCCAGCAGCCGCGGU
rnacentral:rRNA from 1 species